CAGUAGCCGCGGUAAAACGAAGGGUGCAAGCGUUAAUCGGAAUUACUGGGCGUAAAGCGUGCGUAGGCGGUGAGUUAAGUCUGCUGUGAAAUCCCCGGGCUCAACCUGGGAAUUGCAGUGGAUACUGGGUCACUAGAGUGUGGUAGAGGAUAGUGGAAUUUCCGGUGUAGCAGUGAAAUGCGUAGAGAUCGGAAGGAACAUCUGUGGCGAAGGCGACUAUCUGGGCCAACACUGACACUGAGGCACGAAAGCGUGGGGAGCAAACAGGAUUAGAUACCCCUGUAGUCCCUGUCUCUUAUAU
rnacentral:rRNA from 1 species